rnacentral:rRNA from 1 species
GUUAGGAAUAUUGGACAAUGGGCGCAAGCCUGAUCCAGCCAUGCCGCGUGAGUGAUAAAGGCCUUCGGGUUGUAAACUGCUUUUGUACGGAACGAAACGGUCCUGGUUAAUACCUGGGGCUAAUGACGGUACCGUAAGAAUAAGCACCGGCUAACUACGUGCCAGCAGCCGCGGUAAUACGUAGGGUGCGAGCGUUAAUCGGAAUUACUGGGCGUAAAGCGUGCGCAGGCGGUGCUGUAAGACAGGCGUGAAAUCCCCGGGCUCAACCUGGGAAUUGCGCUUGUGACUGCAGUGCUGGAGUACGGCAGAGGGGGAUGGAAUUCCGCGUGUAGCAGUGAAAUGCGUAGAUAUGCGGAGGAACACCGAUGGCGAAGGCAGUCCCCUGGGCCUGUACUGACGCUCAUGCACGAAAGCGUGGGGAGCAAACAGGAUUAGAAACCCGAGUAGUCC